CUCACUUAAAUCUUUUUCUGGGAUCCGGUCCCGUCUGGCCACCACAGAGGUUCAAAGUUGCCCAUUUACGUAUUUUUCAUAAAAACCACACAUUCGGUACUCUUCGGCAUAUUCCUACGGCAAAGUUCCGAACCGGACCUAGCUUAUUUCAAAGGUAUUGACCCAGGCUAUUUCUCAUUUAAAUAUUUUUCUGGGAUCCGGGCCAAUCUGGCCACCGCAGAGGUUCAAAGUUGCCCAUUUACGUAUUUUUCAUAAAAACCACACAUUCGGUACUCUUCGGCAUAUCCCUACGGCAAAGUUCCGAACCGGAUCUAGCUCAAUUCAAAGGUAUUGACCCAGGCUAUUCCUCACUUAAAUAUUUUUCUGGGAUCCGGGCCCGUCUGGCCAUCAUAGAGGUUCAAAGUUGUCCAUUUACGUAUUUUUAAUAAACACCACACAUUCGGUACUCUUCGGCAUAUCCCUACGGCAAAGUUCCGAACCGGACCUAGCUCAUUUCAAAGGUAUUGACUCAGGCUAUUUCCCAUUUAAAUAUUUUUCUGGGAUCCGAGCCCAUCUGGCCACCACAGAGGUUCAAAGUUGUCCAUUUACGUACUUUCAAUACCCAUAACCCAAGAUCCUUUUAGUCAUGUUUGUAUCUACACCCAAUUUUAUAUACCACAGAGUCUAUAAUAUCGUCGAAUUUGUGACAUUGAAAGACCAGGGGGUCUCACCGUCAUCUGAGCGGUCUCCGGUAGGUUUUCACUAUAUAUUUAUUCUUUUGUUGGCUUUCCAUAGAUAUUUCUUUUAUAUUUUGUAACUGUUUUUAGAGUGGCCGGC
rnacentral:lncRNA from 1 species